CCGAAAGCUAUUUAGGUAGCGCCUCGUGAAUUCAUCUCCGGGGGUAGAGCACUGUUUCGGCUAGGGGGCCAUCCCGGCUUACCAACCCGAUGCAAACUGCGAAUACCGGAGAAUGUUAUCACGGGAGACACACGGCGGGUGCUAACGUCCGUCGUGAAGAGGGAAACAACCCAGACCGCCAGCUAAGGUCCCAAAGUCAUGGUUAAGUGGGAAACGAUGUGGGAAGGCCCAGACAGCCAGGAUGUUGGCUUAGAAGCAGCCAUCAUUUAAAGAAAGCGUAAUAGCUCACUGGUCGAGUCGGCCUGCGCGGAAGAUGUAACGGGGCUAAACCAUG
rnacentral:rRNA from 2 species